rnacentral:rRNA from 1 species
GUGGUAAUGCCGGAUGCUCCGACUCCUCGCAUGGGGUGUCGGGAAAGAUUUCAUCGGUAUGGGAUGGGGUCGCGUCCUAUCAGGUAGUCGGCGGGGUAACGGCCCACCGAGCCUACGACGGGUAGCCGGCCUGAGAGGGCGACCGGCCACAUUGGGACUGAGAUACGGCCCAGACUCCUACGGGAGGCAGCAGUGGGGAAUAUUGCACAAUGGGCGCAAGCCUGAUGCAGCGACGCCGCGUGCGGGAUGACGGCCUUCGGGUUGUAAACCGCUUUUGAUCGGGAGCAAGCCUUCGGGUGAGUGUACCUUUCGAAUAAGCACCGGCUAACUACGUGCCAGCAGCCGCGGUAAUACGUAGGGUGCAAGCGUUAUCCGGAAUUAUUGGGCGUAAAGGGCUCGUAGGCGGUUCGUCGCGUCCGGUGUGAAAGUCCAUCGCUUAACGGUGGAUCUGCGCCGGGUACGGGCGGGCUGGAGUGCGGUAGGGGAGACUGGAAUUCCCGGUGUAACGGUGGAAUGUGUAG